GCCCGCAUAGCUCAGUGGUAGAGCGCGUCACUAGUAUCGUUAUCGUCUCCUCUCUCUCCAAGAUCGAGAUCGUAUCUAUAUCAUGACGAGGUCUUCAGUUCAACUCUGGAUGUGGGCA